AGGAUUCGUCCAAUUGAAACAGAGGACAGUGGCGGACGGGUGAGUAACGCGUGAGGAACCUGCCUUUCAGAGGGGGACAACAGUUGGAAACGACUGCUAAUACCGCAUGACACAUAGGUGUCGCAUGGCACUUAUGUCAAAGAUUUAUCGCUGAAAGAUGGCCUCGCGUCUGAUUAGAUAGUUGGCGGGGUAACGGCCCACCAAGGCGACGAUCAGUAGCCGGCCUGAGAGGGUGAACGGCCACAUUGGAACUGAGACACGGUCCAAACUCC
rnacentral:rRNA from 1 species